ACGCUAGCUACAGGCUUAACACAUGCAAGUCGAGGGGCAGCAUGGUCUUAGCUUGCUAAGGCCGAUGGCGACCGGCGCACGGGUGAGUAACACGUAUCCAACCUGCCGUCUACUCUUGGACAGCCUUCUGAAAGGAAGAUUAAUACAAGAUGGCAUCAUGAGUCCGCAUGUUCACAUGAUUAAAGGUAUUCCGGUAGACGAUGGGGAUGCGUUCCAUUAGAUAGUAGGCGGGGUAACGGCCCACCUAGUCUUCGAUGGAUAGGGGUUCUGAGAGGAAGGUCCCCCACAUUGGAACUGAGACACGGUCCAAACUCCUACGGGAGGCAGCAGUGAGGAAUAUUGGUCAAUGGGCGCAGGCCUGAACCAGCCAAGUAGCGUGAAGGAUGACUGCCCUAUGGGUUGUAAACUUCUUUUAUAAAGGAAUAAAGUCGGGUAUGUAUGCCCGUUUGCAUGUACUUUAUGAAUAAGGAUCGGCUAACUCCGUGCCAGCAGCCGCGGUAAUACGGAGGAUCCGAGCGUUAUCCGGAUUUAUUGGGUUUAAAGGGAGCGUAGAUGGAUGUUUAAGUCAGUUGUGAAAGUUUGCGGCUCAACCGUAAAAUUGCAGUUGAUACUGGAUAUCUUGAGUGCAGUUGAGGCAGGCGGAAUUCGUGGUGUAGCGGUGAAAUGCUUAGAUAUCACGAAGAACUCCGAUUGCGAAGGCAGCCUGCUAAGCUGCAACUGACAUUGAGGCUCGAAAGUGUGGGUAUCAAACAGGAUUAGAUACCCUGGUAGUCCACACGGUAAACGAUGAAUACUCGCUGUUUGCGAUAUACAGCAAGCGGCCAAGCGAAAGCGUUAAGUAUUCCACCUGGGGAGUACGCCGGCAACGGUGAAACUCAAAGGAAUUGACGGGGGCCCGCACAAGCGGAGGAACAUGUGGUUUAAUUCGAUGAUACGCGAGGAACCUUACCCGGGCUUAAAUUGCAGAUGAAUUACGGUGAAAGCCGUAAGCCGCAAGGCAUCUGUGAAGGUGCUGCAUGGUUGUCGUCAGCUCGUGCCGUGAGGUGUCGGCUUAAGUGCCAUAACGAGCGCAACCCUUGUUGUCAGUUACUAACAGGUUCUGCUGAGGACUCUGACAAGACUGCCAUCGUAAGAUGUGAGGAAGGUGGGGAUGACGUCAAAUCAGCACGGCCCUUACGUCCGGGGCUACACACGUGUUACAAUGGGGGGUACAGAGGGCCGCUACCACGCGAGUGGAUGCCAAUCCCAAAAACCUCUCUCAGUUCGGACUGGAGUCUGCAACCCGACUCCACGAAGCUGGAUUCGCUAGUAAUCGCGCAUCAGCCACGGCGCGGUGAAUACGUUCCCGGGCCUUGUACACACCGCCCGUCAAGCCAUGGGAGCCGGGGGUACCUGAAGUGCGUAACCGCGAGGAGCGCCCUAGGGUAAAACUGGA
rnacentral:rRNA from 1 species